GCAGGUGGAAGGAAAGCGGGCGACGGGUGAGUAACGCGUGAGUAACCUGCCUUCAGGAGGGGGAUAACAUUCCGAAAGGAAUGCUAAUACCGCAUGACAUUGUAUUUCCGCAUGGAAUAACAAUCAAAGAUUUAUCGCCUGAAGAUGGACUCGCGUCUGAUUAGAUAGUUGGUGGGGUAAAAGGCCUACCAAGUCGACGAUCAGUAGCCGAACUGAGAGGUUGAUCGGCCACAUUGGGACUGAGACACGGUCCAGACUCCUACGGGAGGCAGCAGUGGGGGAUAUUGCGCAAUGGGGGGAACCCUGACGCAGCAAACGCCGCGUGAAGGAAGAAGGUUUUUCGGGUCGUAAAACUUCUUUAAGUUGGGAAGAUAAUGACGGUACCAACAGAAUAAGCCACGGCUAACUACGUG
rnacentral:rRNA from 1 species